AAUUAUUCGAGCUGAUAACCCUAAAGAUAAUUGGAUCACUUAUAAUUAUGUUCAACUCUGCGGUCCAUUUGGCAUAUGACGAAGCGCGUGAAUUCGAAUUAGAUGCCCUAAAACUGUCUACAAAUGAUGAUGAAGGUUUUGCUGCUAUUAAAACAAAUAAAAAAUUAGAAAUGGUAGAUAAAGGAAAAAGAAACUGCAAUAAACAUUUACGCUCUUGUGAUACAGAAGAUGAAUCGACGCCUAUACAAAAAAAAACUAAAAGUAGAAAGAAGAUAUUAG